rnacentral:rRNA from 1 species
AGCUUGCUCUCUGGAUCAGUGGCGAACGGGUGAGUAACACGUGAGCAAUCUGCCCCUGACUCUGGGAUAAGCGCUGGAAACGGCGUCUAAUACCGGAUACGAGCUGCGAAGGCAUCUUCAGCAGCUGGAAAGAACUUCGGUCAGGGAUGAGCUCGCGGCCUAUCAGCUAGUUGGUGAGGUAAUGGCUCACCAAGGCGUCGACGGGUAGCCGGCCUGAGAGGGUGACCGGCCACACUGGGACUGAGACACGGCCCAGACUCCUACGGGAGGCAGCAGUGGGGAAUAUUGCACAAUGGGCGCAAGCCUGAUGCAGCAACGCCGCGUGAGGGACGACGGCCUUCGGGUUGUAAACCUCUUUUAGCAGGGAAGAAGCGAAAGUGACGGUACCUGCAGAAAAAGCACCGGCUAACUACGUGCCAGCAGCCGCGGUAAUACGUAGGGUGCAAGCGUUAUCCGGAAUUAUUGGGCGUAAAGAGCUCGUAGGCGGUUUGUCGCGUCUGCUGUGAAAUCUGGGGGCUCAACCCCCAGCCUGCAGUGGGUACGGGCAGACUAGAGUGCGGUAGGGGAGAUUGGAAUUCCUGGUGUAGCGGUGGAAUGCGCAGAUAUCAGGAGGAACACCGAUGGCGAAGGCAGAUCUCUGGGCCGUAACUGACGCUGAGGAGCGAAAGGGUGGGGAGCAAACAGGCUUAGAUACCCUGGUAGUCCACCCCGUAAACGUUGGGAACUAGUUGUGGGGUCCAUUCCACGGAUUCCGUGACGCAGCUAACGCAUUAAGUUCCCCGCCUGGGGAGUACGGCCGCAAGGCUAAAACUCAAGGAAUUGACGGGGACCCGCACAAGCGGCGGAGCAUGCGGAUUAAUUCGAUGCAACGCGAAGAACCUUACCAAGGCUUGACAUAUACGAGAACGCUGCAGAAAUGUAGAACUCUUUGGACACUCGUAAACAGGUGGUGCAUGGUUGUCGUCAGCUCGUGUCGUGAGAUGUUGGGUUAAGUCCGCAACGAGCGCACCCUCGUUCUAUGUUGCCAGCACGUAAUGGUGGGAACUCAUGGGAUACUGCCGGGUCAACUCGGAAGAAGGUGGGGAUGACGUCAAUCAUCAUGCCCCUUAUGUCUUGGGCUUCACGCAUGCUACAAUGGCCGGUACAAAGGGCUGCA